rfam:Stegodyphus mimosarum contig19949, whole genome shotgun sequence.
GACUUCGUGGUGUAGUGGUCAGCACGCUCGACGCGUAACCGAGCGGUCCGUGGUUCGAUUCCCGACGAAGGCG